GCACAGGUCUAUGUGUAUGAGAGCACAGGUCUAUGUCUAUGAGAGCACAGGUCUAUGAGAGCACAGGUCUAUGUGUAUGAGAGCACAGGUCUAUGUCUAUGAGAGCACAGGUCUAUGUCUAUGAGAGCACAGGUCUAUGUGUAUGAGAGCACAGGUCUAUGUCUAUGAGAGCACAGGUCUAUGUGUAUGAGAGCACAGGUCUAUGUCUAUAAAAGCACAGGUCUAUGUCUAUGAGAGCACAGGUCUAUGUCUAUGAGAGCACAGGUCUAUGUGUAUGAGAGCACAGGUCUAUGUGUAUGAGAGCACAGGUCUAUGUCUAUAAAAGCACAGGUCUAUGUCUAUGAGAGCACAGGUCUAUGUCUAUGAGAGCACAGGUCUAUGUGUAUGAGAGCACAGGUCUAUGUGUAUGAGAGCACAGGUCUAUGAGAACACAGGUCUAUGUGUAUGAGAACACAGGUCUAUGUGUAUGAGAACACAGGUCUAUGUCUAUGAGAGCACAGGUCUAUGAGAACACAGGUCUAUGUCUAUGAGAGCACAGGUCUAUGUCUAUGAGAGCACAGGAGUAUUAAUGGAUAUUAACAACUUUCCAGGCCACAGACAUUUACUAUUUCUCUCCUUACCUUCAAUCCACCUCUCUGUCAAUCUGAAUGACACAUACUGUACUUUAUAGAGUUCAUAGAAAAAUGUAUUAAUGCCAAAAAUAAAAGCUAUUUAAUUGCAUUUCAAUGAUGAUCUGUAAAAUUAGUUUUGGAGAAAUAUCCAUUUAUUAAUCACAAUUUGUCAAACAGAAAUGACCCUUCACUAACUCUAAAACAACACUGAAUGUGAUGAAAUUAAAACACAUACAUACUUAGCAAAAAAAAACCUGUACAAUCUGUGCACUCCAAGCUAACGAGAGACACCUGGGGUGCCCAAACCCCAUGAAUCAAAAUGUGUGUUUACAUUCAGUGCACCCAUAUCAAUUUGGAACUCACAUUUAUUGUAUAUGACCAAUUCAGUUUUCACUUUACCAGGUAUAAAUUAAGAAAAUGUCAAUGAAAAUAUUGUUAU